AGCAGCCGCGGUAAUUCCAGCUCCAAUAGCGUAUAUUAAAGUUGUUGCAGUUAAAAAGCUCGUAGUUGAAUUUCGGGAUCAAAGAAUCGGUCAUGCCUUGGUAUGCACUGGUUUUAUUGGUUCUCACCUUCUAAAGAACCAUAAUGUCAUUCAUUUGAUGUUAUGGGGAAUUAGGACUGUUACCUUGAAAAAAUUAGAGUGUUUAAAGCAGGCUUACGCUUGAAUACAUUAGCAUGGAAUAAUGAAAUAGGACAUCAGAUUCUAUUUUGUUGGUUUCUAGGAUCGAUGUAAUGAUUAAUAGGGAUAGUUGGGGGCAUUAGUAUUCAAUUGUCAGAGGUGAAAUUCUUGGAUUUAUUGAAGACUAACUACUGCGAAAGCAUUUGCCAAGGAUGUUUUCAUUAAUCAAGAACGAAAGUUAGGGGAUCGAAGACGAUCAGAUACCGUCGUAGUCUUAACCAUAAACUAUGCCGACUAGGGAUCGGAUGAUGUUAAUUUUAUAAUGACUCAUUCGGCACCUUACG
rnacentral:rRNA from 1 species